CUUCGUCAUGCUCUGGCGUCAAUGGGCGGUACUGGCGGGGAUUCGGCUGGAUCAUCGACGACCAUCUUCGCGAGCCCGCGCGACCGACUGCAGGUUCACAUUUUUGUGGGAUAUCCGGGAGAUUAGGGCUUGGGGGCGUGGGGCGGUCAAGUUACUACCCAAAUCUAGAAGAAACACCAAGGCUGAUAAGAAAACCGAGGUGUGGACAUUCUGCAUUGCCUCUGGGAUCUUCAUUGCAGGGUUGCUCAAGUUAUGGGCUCUGUGACGAUGGAGGCAUGGUGGUGUGAGUGGUAGCGAGAGUAGAGGAAAUGGUGGUGCAGCGCCCUGUGGAACCAGUAGUAGAGAAACUCAACAGGUCCUAUGUGAAGCAACGCCAUGAUGAUGGCUCCCUUUGUUUCCCACAUUGGCAUGAAUCUGGUACUCGGUAUGGCUGCAUAACCCAAGUAGAAGAACAGCCCAGAGAGGAUGAUCUGGUCAUCCCUGUACAGAGUGGUAUGUGCCAGUUAAUUUGAGUGUGAUAGAAGUGAAUAGCAGGAUGUGCGCAUAUAUGACUUACCAGGAUCUCUCCCGGUCCACCUGCUCGAAUUCAAGACCGCGGUCAACGAUGAUGUGCUUCCUGCGUGCGGUUUGGUGGUGAGACAAGCUGAUCCAGAUCUGGUUGUGGAUCAUCCUCAGAAGCAGAGCUGGUAGCAUGGCGGCGUAUGCUGUAUCCAUGUCUCCCCACCCACUGGUGACCACCCUGUGCGCAGUGUGCAAUGCCGCAGGUGCGAAGACCAGGUACUGCUUGCAGUGCAUGGUUAGAGUAUCAUGUGACAUUGAGGGAUGGGAAUUAAUCAGCGGUGUAUAGCAGGUGGUAAUCAGAUCUUUGAUUGUUCGGAAGCUAUUGCCGUGGCUUCAAGCUUGAAAACUUCUACGUUUUGAAGAGAAAAGGAGGAUCACAAGGCCAAUGAAUGCAAACGGUUCAAGGUUUCAUGAGAAUGGCAUGAGCUGCCCAGCAAUACAUCUUUAUGAUUUGAUUGCUGCUAUCAGGGAUUUUACCGGUGCCUAUGUUAUCAUACUCUGGUCGCUAUCCACCGUGCAAGAAGCAUGCAAAGGAAUUUGUCAAAGAGAGGAACUCCAAACGGACAGUAGCACGUAAAGUGCAGACAAGAUGUGACAUACCUUGAAGCUGCCCAUCCAGUGCCAUGGCCAUUGGGUCAAAGGGCCCGGCUGUGCUGCCAUGGUAAUGGAUGCACGACCACUUUCCUCUCUUCCAAGGUAAGCAGCUCCCUCAGCAAGCAAGCUCUGCUACGAACUUCAAGCUCCGGUUG